rnacentral:rRNA from 1 species
GAUGAACGCUGGCGGCGUGCCUAAUACAUGCAAGUCGAGCGAACGGACGAGAAGCUUGCUUCUCUGAUGUUAGCGGCGGACGGGUGAGUAACACGUGGAUAACCUACCUAUAAGACUGGGAUAACUUCGGGAAACCGGAGCUAAUACCGGAUAAUAUUUUGAACCGCAUGGUUCAAAAGUAAAAGACGGUCUUGCUGUCACUUAUAGAUGGAUCCGCGCUGCAUUAGCUAGUUGGUAAGGUAACGGCUUACCAAGGCAACGAUGCAUAGCCGACCUGAGAGGGUGAUCGGCCACACUGGAGCUGAGACACGGUCCAGACUCCUACGGGAGGCAGCAGUAGGGAAUCUUCCGCAAUGGGCGAAAGCCUGACGGAGCAACGCCGCGUGAGUGAUGAAGGUCUUCGGAUCGUAAAACUCUGUUAUUAGGGAAGAACAUAUGUGUAAGUAACUGCGCACAUCUUGACGGUACCUAAUCAGAAAGCCACGGCUAACUACGUG